AUUGAACGCUGGCGGCAAGCCUAACACAUGCAAGUCGAACGAGUGGCGGACGUGUGAGUAAUUUCUGGGCAACUGCCUGGUGGAGGGGGAUAACUACUGGAAACGGUAGCCAAUACCGCAUACCAUCGGGUUUGCCCAGAUGGGAUUAGCUAGUAGGUGGGGUAAAGGCUCACCUAGGCGACGAUCCCUAGCUGGUCUGCGAGGAUGACCAGCAAAACUGGAACUGAGAAACGGUCCAGACUCCGACGGGAGGCAGCAGUGGGGAAUAUUGCACAAUGGGCGAAAGCCUGAUGCAGCAAUGCCGCGUGUAUGAAGAAGGCCUGCGGGUUGUAAAGUACGUUCAGCGGGGAGGCGUUACCCGCAGAAGAAGCACCGGCUAACUCCGUGCCAGCAGCCGCGGUAAUUC
rnacentral:rRNA from 1 species